AGUGAACGCUGGCGGUAGGCCUAACGCAUGCAAGUCGAACGGCAGCACAGUAAGAGCUUGCUCUUACGGGUGGCGAGUGGCGGACGGGUGAGGAAUACAUCGGAAUCUACUUUUUCGUGGGGGAUAACGUAGGGAAACUUACGCUAAUACCGCAUACGACCUACGGGUGAAAGCAGGGGAUCUUCGGACCUUGCGCGAUUGAAUGAGCCGAUGUCGGAUUAGCUAGUUGGCGGGGUAAAGGCCCACCAAGGCGACGAUCCGUAGCUGGUCUGAGAGGAUGAUCAGCCACACUGGAACUGAGACACGGUCCGGACUCCUACGGGAGGCAGCAGUGGGGAAUAUUGGACAAUGGGCGCAAGCCUGAUCCAGCCAUACCGCGUGGGUGAAGAAGGCCUUCGGGUUGUAAAGCCCUUUUGUUGGGAAAGAAAAGCAGCAGGUUAAUACCCCGCUGUUCUGACGGUACCCAAAGAAUAAGCACCGGCUAACUUCGUG
rnacentral:rRNA from 1 species